rnacentral:rRNA from 1 species
CCAGACUCCUACGGGAGGCAGCAGUGGGGAAUAUUGGACAAUGGGGGAAACCCUGAUGCAGCGACGCCGCGUGAGCGAAGAAGUAUUUCGGUAUGUAAAGCUCUAUCAGCAGGGAAGAAAAUGACGGCACCUGACUAAGAAGCCCCGGCUAACUACGUGCCAGCAGCCGCGGUAAUACGUAGGGGGCAAGCGUUAUCCGGAUUUACUGGGUGUAAAGGGAGCGUAGACGGUACUGCAAGCCAGAUGUGAAAGCCCGGGGCUCAACCCCGGGACUGCAUUUGAAACUGUACGGCUAGAGUGCAGGAGAGGCAAGUGGAAUUCCUAGUGUAGCGGUGAAAUGCGUAGAUAUUAGGAGGAACACCAGUGGCGAAGGCGGCUUGCUGGACGAUAACUGACGUUGAGGCUCGAAAGCGUGGGGAGCAAACAGGAUUAGAUACCCGCGUA